UACGUAGGGGGCGAGCGUUGUCCGAAUUCACUGGGCGUAAAGCGCGCGUAGGCGGGUUUUAAGUUGGGGGUGAAAUCCCGAGGCUCAACCUCGGAACUGCCUCCAAAACUGGAAGCCUUGAGGUUUGGAGAGGGAAGUGGAAUUCCAGGUGUAGCGGUGAAAUGCGUAGAUAUCUGGAGGAACACCCGUGGCGAAGGCGGCUUCCUGGCCAUAUCCUGACGCUGAGGUGCGAAAGCUAGGGGAGCGAACGGG
rnacentral:rRNA from 1 species